rnacentral:rRNA from 1 species
AUUGAACGCUGGCGGCAGGCCUAACACAUGCAAGUCGAGCGAGCGGCGGACGGGUGAGUAAUGUCUGGGAAACUGCCUGAUGGAGGGGGAUAACUACUGGAAACGGUAGCUAAUACCGCAUACCAUCAGAUGUGCCCAGAUGGGAUUAGCUAGUAGGUGUGGUAACGGCUCACUUAGGCGACGAUCCCUAGCUGGUCUGGGAGGAUGACCAGCCACACUGAGACUGAGACACGGUCCAAACUCCUACGGGAGGCAGCAGUGGGGAAUAUUGCACAAUGGGAGCAAGCCUGAGGCAGCCAUGCCGCGUGUGUGAAGAAGGCAUUCGGGUUGUAAAGCACUUUCAGCGGGGAGGCGUUACCCGCAGAAGAAGCACCGGCUAGCUCCGUGCCAGCAGCCGCGGUAAUAC